rnacentral:tRNA from 1 species
GCUGAGUUAGUUUAACAAAAACGUUAGGAUGUGGCCCUACUAAUAGGAGUAUUACUUCUACUCAGUA